rnacentral:tRNA from 1 species
GCCCCUCUGGCGGAAUUGGUAGACGCGCUGGAUUCAAAAUCCAGUUCUCGCAAGAGAGUGCCAGUUCGAUUCUGGCGGGGGGCACCA